GGGGUUGUGGUGUAACUGGCAGCAUGACGGACUUUUAAUCCGUUCGGCGAGAGUUCGAAUCUCUCCGGCCCCAC
rnacentral:tRNA from 2 species